GAUGAACGCUGGCGGCGUGCUUAACACAUGCAAGUCGAACGAUGAAGCCCAGCUUUCUGGGUGUAUUAGUGGCGAACGGGUGAGUAACACGUGAGUAAACUGCCCUUAACUCUGUGAUAAGCCUUGAAAACUGGGUCUAUUACCGGAUAGGAGAGCCUACCGCACGUGGGGUGUUGGGGAGAUUUUGCGGUUUUGGAUGGACUCGCGGCCUAUCAGCUUGUUGGUGGGGUAAUGGCUCACCAAGGCGCCGACGGGUAGCCGGCCUGAGAGGGUGACCGGCCACACUGGGACUGAGACACGGCCCAGACUCCUACGGGAGGCAGCAGUGGGGAAUAUUGCACAAUGGGCGGAAGCCUGAUGCAGCGACGCCGCGUGAGGGAUGACGGCCUUCGGGUUGUAAACCUCUUUCAGUAGGGAAGAAGCGAAAGUGACGGUACCUGGAGAAGAAGCACCGGCUAACUACGUG
rnacentral:rRNA from 1 species